rnacentral:rRNA from 1 species
UACGGAGGGUGCAAGCGUUAUCCGGAUUCACUGGGUUUAAAGGGUGCGUAGGUGGGCAGGUAAGUCAGUGGUGAAAUCUCCGAGCUUAACUCGGAAACUGCCGUUGAUACUAUUUGUCUUGAAUAUUGUGGAGGUAAGCGGAAUAUGUCAUGUAGCGGUGAAAUGCUUAGAUAUGACAUAGAACACCAAUUGCGAAGGCAGCUUACUAAGCUAUGAUUGACGCUGAGGCACGAAAGCGUGGGGAUCAAACAGG